UUUUUUUUUACAUGCCAAAUGCUAAAAAAAUGCUGUUACUUGUUAUUGAUCAUAAAGUAAAACUUAAAGUAUCUAUUCAAGUGAAAUUUUGUCUGUGCUCCUGAUGUUCUCCGAGGAGCCCCCUAGUGAAAGUGGAGAAAAUAUACUUCCUUUUAAGCCUUUAUCAUCUUAAGUAAAUGUACACAUACAUGUUUUCAUUUUAAACAUUUUUUUGACCAUCAUAGCACAAAGAUAACACAAGCAAGCAAGCAAGCUUUUAAAAUUCAUUAAAUGGCCAGCAUAGACAAAAUUACAUUGGCUCAAAAAAGGAAAACAUAGAAAAAGUUAAGUGUAAUACCUAACUACACACAAUUGCUGAUGAAUAAUACUUAUUAGCUAAACAUUGUUAAAUAAAAACAACAAUACACAUUAAACAAGCAGAUUUCAGUUUUGUAUCCCUGCUCCUCACAAGAGGCCUCUCAACAGCUGGGAGGCCAAUAUGACUUUCAUGGUCUCAAACUGAAAAGAGGCCCCUAAAACAAUGUACUAUUGCCCAUUAUUAGCUGUUAACUGUUGAGGUUUAGGUAAUGAGAUAAAUCACCGUGUACUAGUUACGCUAAACUAGAAUUUGGAGAAGGGACCAAACUGACUGUUCUGGGUAAGUCUGAAUUGGAUUUUUAAACGUUAUAUUUUUCAAAUGGUUUUGUAAACGCUGUUCAGAAAAUGUGAUUUGUUAAUCUCUGAAAUUCAGUAAGAUGAGUCUUAAUAGCACAAAGAAACAUAGAUGCACAUUGACAUAAAUAAGUUACAAAGUUAGAUUUUCAAAUAUAACUCGUAAUUGUUAGUAGUUUUAUGUAAUUACAUUUAAAGUAUAAUUUAAUUCAAAAAGAAAAACAAAUCUGAAUUCCACUUUCCACCACUUUUCCUUAUUUGUUCUAGCUAGAAAUGUCUCUUUCCCAAAUGUGAACAUACUACCACCCUCUCCACAAGAGAUGUGUGACGAUAAAAAGAAAGAUAAAACAUUAGUUUGUUUAGUCACUGGCUUUUAUCCCGAUCAUGUCAGUGUGACCUGGCAAGUAAACGGUAUGGACAGGAAGGACAAAGUGUCAACUGACCCCAUAGCCCACCAAGACAACGGCACAUUACUUUACCAUAUCAGCAGCAGAAUAAAAGUUAAUGGCACAGACUGGAAGGAUCGGGGAAAUCGAUUUACCUGUAUUGUCCGUUUCUACAAUGGAACACAGUACCUACAUUUCAGACAUACUAUAAAAAGUCCAAGAGGUUUGUUGGAGAUGGACAAUUGUUGCUUUCACUGUAUUGGUGUGAAUUUAAUCACGUUUGUGAUUUUAGUUAAUCAGAAGAUUUUUGGCUUUGGCUACAUCCUUUUUCUUGCCAAGAGCGUGCUGUAUGCUCUGAUCGUGGCUGGUGUUGUGUGGAAACUCAAGAUUCUGUAG